UCCGGUGGCAAUGGCGGAGGGGAUACACCUGUUCCCAUUCCGAACACAGUAGUUAAGCCCUCCAGCGCCGAUGGUACUUGGCGGGUGACCGCCUGGGAGAGUAGGUCGCUGCCGGAA
rnacentral:rRNA from 1 species